rnacentral:rRNA from 1 species
GGGUAACCCGCAAGGGAGCCAGCCGCCGAAGGUGGGGUAGAUGAUUGGGGUGAAGUCGUAACAAGGUAGCCGUAUCGGAAGGUGCGGCUGGAUCACCUCCUUUCUAUGGAGA